GUGCCAGCCGCCGCGGUAAUACGUAGGUGGCGAGCGUUAUCCGGAAUUACUGGGUGUAAAGGGCGUGUAGGCGGGGAUGCAAGUCAGAUGUGAAAUUCCGGGGCUCAACCUCGGCACUGCAUCUGAAACUGUGUCUCUUGAGUGCUGGAGAGGAAAGUGGAAUUCCUAGUGUAGCGGUGAAAUGCGUAGAGAUUAGGAGGAACACCAGUGGCGAAGGCGACUUUCUGGACAGCAACUGACGCUGAGGCGCGAGAGCGUGGGGAGCAAACAGGAUUAGAUACCCUGGUAGUCCACGCCGUAAACGAUGGAUACUAGGUGUAGGAGGUAUCGACCCCUUCUGUGCCGUAGUUAACACAAUAAGUAUCCCACCUGGGGAGUACGGCCGCAAGGCUGAAACUCAAAUAAAUUGACGG
rnacentral:rRNA from 1 species